AACACAUCUCUCUGUGUUUCCCUCACUAGAAGAGGUGGGUUGCUAUGGCCAAGGACAUUGAGGUUGCAGGGCACGGAGACCUCACAUUGAAGGACUACCACGACCCACCACCGGCGCCACUGGUCGACCCUGAGGAAUUGGGGUCCUGGUCCUUUUACAGGGCCAUCAUUGCCGAGUUCGUGGCCACCCUUUUGUUCCUCUACGUUACUGUGUUGACGGUGAUUGGGUACAAGAACCAGACUGAUCCCUACCAUCACGGAAAUGAAUGCAACGGGGUUGGUAUUCUUGGCAUUGCUUGGGCCUUUGGUGGCAUGAUCUUCAUCCUUGUUUACUGCACCGCCGGCAUCUCUGGUGAGCUCUCUCUUUCUCUCUCUGUUUGGUUAACAGGAAAGCAAAGAAAAAUAUGAAAUUCAAGUAGCAUUUUUUCAACCACAAUGAUCAUCAUUCUUUUAACAUAUUGCGGAUGUUCACGCUACAACGCGCAGGAGGGCAUAUUAAUCCUGCAGUGACGUUCGGGCUAUUCCUGGCUAGAAAGGUGUCGCUGGUCCGAGCCGUGAUGUACAUGGUGGCCCAGUGCGGGGGAGCCAUCUGCGGCUGUGGCCUGGUCAAGCUAUUCCAGGAUAUUUACUACAUCAGAUACGGUGGUGGCGCCAAUGAGCUCGCCUCUGGAUACAGUAUAGGAACGGGGUUGGCUGCUGAGAUUAUUGGCACCUUCGUUCUUGUCUACACCGUCUUCUCUGCUACUGAUCCCAAAAGAAAUGCAAGAGAUUCCCAUGUGCCUGUAAGUUUGCAGCAUGUUGGAUAAUUAGGCUGAACUUCAGAUCGUGAAACUUAAUAUAUGUAAUUUCUGCAAUUUGUUGGUGAUUAAUCGUGUUCCUUUCGUUUGAAAUGAAGGUUUUGGCACCACUCCCCAUUGGAUUUGCUGUGUUCAUGGUUCACUUAGCCACGAUCCCCAUCACCGGUACCGGAAUCAACCCGGCUCGAAGUCUCGGAGCUGCUGUCAUCUACAACCAACCCAAAGCCUGGAGUGACCAUGUAAGUGCUCUGCUCACUCACACUCUCAGUUUCAGUACUCCAUUUUGUUCCGUUUGAUGCCACGAUAUAAAGCUGAUGUUAAAAUCGUGUCCAUGCUUGCAGUGGGUAUUUUGGGCUGGACCCUUCAUUGGUGCAGCCAUUGCAGCAUUCUAUCACCAGUUCAUAUUGAGAGCUGGAGCUGUUAAAGCUCUAGGGUCUUUCAAGAGCAGUUCCCACAUGUAAU
rnacentral:lncRNA from 1 species